CAAAAGCAUGGUCACGCCUUGAGUCCUGGAGAAUCAGAAGUGUUCACGCCCACAAUGUCUAAAAGAACAGGCAAACGUAAAAACGUGAAGGUUGCUGCAGAACUAACUCAACAGCUGGUUAGUGAGGAUGAUCCAGCACCAGGAAAAGCAUCCAUGGCAGUAGGAAUGAGCUCACCAGUUGUAAAAGUUGAGGAAAAUGCUACAACUGGUGGAGAAUCCCCAAUCAUGCAGCUGCUUAGCGAAAAGAAUAAAUGGCAACAAAUCUGAUAGCGGACUUGGAAAAAGAGAGAUUUCCUUUGGAGAAAGUUGAGUGGGACAACCUCUGGAAGCACAUCCAGAAAACUAUCUACAGAGAUAAAGGAACUGUUGCCUAAAGUGUUGAGCAGUAGUUCCUGCAGCUCAUCUGAAGAUGACACCAGUUCAUCCAGUGAGGAAAAAGUAAAAAAAGAAGAGCCAUAGACAGAAACAUAGAACUGGUCGAGCCAGAAAGCCAGAAGUUAUUAAAUGCUACAAAGAAGUACUGAAGACUUUCAGGAAAGUGAGGACAAUGUCUGCAGCCUUCCAUCGACAUGGGGUAGACAGAGGAACUAUUGCAUCCAUGGCUUCAAUUGCAGAGCUUGCAAUUGCAGAUCCUGGUUUUUACCAAGAGAUAAAAUCUGACAAGGAAACUCUUCUUGAUUUUGCAAAAAGGUGCAAUGCAAUGAUGUCUACUACUACAAAGCAAAAAAAUAGAAGAUAUGAAAUAAAUAAAUGAGCCCCUGCCCUUGCAGCAUAGUUAUAAUUAAGGCUUGACUGAUGCUUGAUGUCUGACCUUUACUUGUUUAAAUUGCAAGGUCUCAUUUCACUGUCAUGUUCUGUUUGGAAUACUCAUUGUUCUGAGCAAACAAAUCUGUAAUGUGCAGAAUUGUUAGAUUGUGUUUAACUAUUACAGACCUCAAUCCAUUAUUCUUAUUACUCAGUGUUCACUGAGUAGUGUUUUAUAUUGAAAGGUAAUUGUCAUACUCUUGGUUAAUUCUUACAGUUCUCGUCCGCUUAUAUGAUAAAGAAAACAAACAUAUGCUCCAGAUAUUUUCAUUUCACAUUUGUCUGAGUAAUCUCCCUAUAGCUUUUUUUUUUUUUUUUUUUGUCUAUAGUAUAAAACAAUAUAUGGCAUUAUCCUUUUACAGGAUUUUAUUUGCACUGUAAUUUGUGUUCAACCAGCAGUUGAAAUAAGUUAUUUCUGUACUUGUGUCCUUAUUUUGUGACCUACACAUGGGUCAUUUAACUUGCUGUAUUUGUUAUCCAGUGACCUUCAUCUGUAUUACACUGUAUGUUAAUUUUAAGUCAGCAUAAGCAGUAAUUGAAAAGCAGCAUUAUUCUUUAGUGGUUACUGGAAAUUAUUUUAGAACAGGGAGUCAAAUUGUCUUCAUUAGUACAGUAUUAGUGGUAGUUUAGCCAUAAUUAUUGGCUUAUUCUGGUCAAUAAACUUGAUAAUCACUCAAUAAGUGAGGCUUCAUAUUGUUCAGUUAACUUAAUAGAUGGUGAAUCACAAAUAUAAAGUAUAUCACUACACAAAAAUAAUAUAUGGUUUAAGUUGUAAAUGGCUAAAAGGUGUUUACUGUACAUUCAGUUAAUUGUUAAUUACUAGCUUAAUUUUGCUUAUCGUAUAAAUGUGGA